GCCAGGUGUGGCAGUGUGAACUUGUAGUCCCAGCUACUCGGGAGGCUGAGGCAGGAGGAUCGCUUGAGUUGAGGGGUUCUGGGCUGUAGUGUGCUAUGCCAGUCAGGUGUCUGCACUAAGUCUGGCAUCAAUAUAGUGACCUCCCAGGAGUGGGAGAUGACCAGGUUGCCUCCAGAGGGGUGAGCCGGCCCAAGUGGAAUGAAGCAGGUCCAACCUCCCGUGCUGAUCAGUAGUGGGAUCACACCUGUGAAUAGUUACUACACUCCAGCCUGGACAGCACAGCAAGACCCCAUCUCU
ensembl:misc_RNA Metazoa_SRP Metazoan signal recognition particle RNA